GAUGAACGCUGGCGGCGUGCCUAAUACAUGCAAGUCGAGCGAACAGAUGAGGAGCUUGCUCCUCUGACGUUAGCGGCGGACGGGUGAGUAACACGUGGAUAACCUACCUAUAAGACUGGGAUAACUUCGGGAAACCGGAGCUAAUACCGGAUAAUAUAUUGAACCGCAUGGUUCAAUAGUGAAAGACGGUUUUGCUGUCACUUAUCGAUGGAUCCGCGCCGCAUUAGCUAGUUGGUAAGGAAACGGCUUACCAAGGCAACGAUGCGUAGCCGACCUGAGAGGGUGAUUGGCCACAGUGGAAGUAAGACACGGUCCAUGCUACUACGGGAGGCAGCAGUAGGGAAUCUUCCGCAAUGGGCGAAAGCCUUACGGAGCGAAGGCGCGUGAGUGAUGAAAAUCUUCGGAUCGUGAAACUGUGUUAUUAGGGAAGAACAAAUUUGUAAGUAACUAUGCACGUCUUGACGGUACCUAAUCAGAAAGCCACGGCUAACUACGUG
rnacentral:rRNA from 1 species